AUCGUAGAAGUCAUCGGCGGCUGUGAAGGAGCAGAGGGAGCCCUCCGUCAUCUCCAUGGGGCCAACAGCCCGCCUUGCCGCCGAGCCAGGGAGAGCGGCCGCCCCGAUGCCCGAAGGUGCCGAGUGCCGCUGGCCUCUCGCCUGGGGGGACAACGGCGCGCCCCGCUGUCCCCGCACACACCGGUGUGAGCUUCUUCCUCACAGGGAAACAGCUCCCAGCCCCUGGACAGAUCUGUCCGCGGCCACAAGGUUAUAAAUGUUGGUGAAAUUUCAGCUUGUUCAAAAUGAGCAGCAGAGCUCUGUCUUCAGUGGGACAAGGGGCUGACUGACAGAAUCGCAAAAGGAUGUGAUUGGAAAGUAAGCUGGGAAGGCAGAAGCAGAUUGUACUUCCUGCGUUGAGAAACAUGGAUAGACUCAUCCUAUGCACACCUGACAGAGGAUAGAGGCUGGGGAAACAGCUGAUUGUGAGUUUAUCUGGAAUUAACAGAACUGUCUUUAGAGGCAGAGGGCUCAGAACAUGUUUGAGCAAAGGAAAAGGGAGAGAAAAAGACUUAAAUUCUUAGAGUGUGUGGAUACAUUUGGUUAGAAGAUGAACAUGAGAAGUCUGAGAAACAGACAUGGCACUACCUCAUGGAAAAAUUAGAGGCAACUUAACUGCUAUGAUGGACAAAAGAGGAGCAUUCUGCAUUAACUAAUUUGGUAGAAGAGAAG